AAAAGGGUUCUUUUAAGAACCCCACAAUGUAUUAAAAAAUAAAAGU
rfam:Solenopsis invicta Si_gnG.contig91213, whole genome shotgun sequence.